GUGCUUAACACAUGCAAGUCSAACGGUAAGGCUCCAGCUUGCUGGGGUACACGAGUGGCGAACGGGUGAGUAACACGUGGGUGACCUGCCCUGCACUUCGGGAUAAGCCUGGGAAACUGGGUCUAAUACCGGAUAGGACCGCACCGUGAGGGUGUGGUGGAAAGUUUUUUCGGUGUGGGAUGGGCCCGCGGCCUAUCAGCUUGUUGGUGGGGUAAUGGCCUACCAAGGCGGCGACGGGUAGCCGGCCUGAGAGGGUGGACGGCCACAUUGGGACUGAGACACGGCCCAGACUCCUACGGGAGGCAGCAGUGGGGAAUAUUGCACAAUGGGCGGAAGCCUGAUGCAGCGACGCCGCGUGGGGGAUGACGGCCUUCGGGUUGUAAACUCCUUUCACCAUCSACGAAGGGUUUCUGACGGUAGAUGGAGAAGAAGCACCGGCUAACUACKUGCCAGCAGCCGCGGUAAUACGUAGGGUGCGAGCGUU
rnacentral:rRNA from 1 species